rnacentral:lncRNA from 1 species
CAAAAUAACUUGCCAAAUUAUAUUAUGCUUUUAAAAUAAAAAAUAAAUAAAUAAAUAAAUAAAAAUAACAAUAGUUCUAAGAAAAGAUUAUUUAAAAAAAAAUAUUUAUUUUUAAGAUUUAGAGUUUAGUAUUUAAGAUUUAUAAUUUAGAAUUUAUCCAAAUGUUUAGUGUUUUUCCAAGGGUUUAGGGUUUACCCAAGGGUUUAGGGUUUACCCAAAGGUUUAAGAUUUUCCCAAGGGUUUAGGGUUUAGGAUUAGAGUUUAGGGUUUAGUGUUUUGUUGACAACAUGUUUAGUGUUUUUCCAAGGGUUUAGGGGUUUAUCCAAGGAUUUAGGGUUUACCCAAGGAUUUAGGGUUUAGGAUUUGAGUUUAGGGUUUAGUAUUAGAGUUUAGGGUUUAGUGUUUUGUUGACAACAUUAUUUUUUUUUUGAAUUCGUUUUUUAUAUAUUAUUUUUCUUUAUUUUUAAAUUUUUUUUUGAAAAAAUAAUAUAAUUUGCCAAGUUAUUUGGUUUACUUAAUUAAAAGAUACUAGAUUUAAAAUGACAAUUUUCUAUUGGUUGGUGAACCGAAAGGUUCACCCUAAGGGGUGAACCCAAAAAUAACUCAAUUAUUAAUUAAAAACAUUAAAUUAAAUAAAAAAUAGCUACAAAAAAUAAAAACGUUAAUUUUAACGACGCUAACGCUUUCAGCUAAACCCUAAACCCUAAAUCUUAAAUUCUAAAUCUUAUACCCUAAAUUCUAAACCCAAAUUCAAACCCCUAAACCCAAACCCUAUACCCUAAACCCAAAUUAUAUACCCUAAACCCAAAAACAAGACUAAACCUAAACUCUAUACCUUAAACCCAAGUCCUAGAC